rnacentral:rRNA from 1 species
GAUGAACGCUGGCGGCGUGCCUAAUACAUGCAAGUCGAGCGAACAGACGAUGAGCUUGUUCCUCUGACGUUAGCGGCGGACGGGUGAGUAACACGUGGAUAACCUACCUAUAAGACUGGGAUAACUUCGGGAAACCGGAGAUAAUACCGGAUAAUAUAUUGAACCGCAUGGUUCAAUAGUGAAAGACGGUUUUGCUGUCACUUAUAGAUGGUUCCGCGCCGCUUUAGCUAGUUGGUAAGGUAACGGCUUACCAAGGCAAGGAUGCGUAGCCGACCUGAGAGGCGGAUCGGCGACACUGGAACUGGAACACGGACCAGACUCCUACGGGAGGCAGCAGUAGGCAAUCUUCCGCAAUGGUCGAAAGCUUGGCGCAGCAACGGCGCGUGAGUGAUGAAGGUCUUGGGAGCGUAAAGCUCUGUUAUUGGUGAAGAACAAAUGUGUAAGGAAAUAUGCACGUCUUGACGGUACCUAAUCAGAAAGCCACGGCUAACUACGUG